rnacentral:rRNA from 1 species
GACGAACGCUGGCGGCGUGCCUAAUACAUGCAAGUUGAGCGCUGAAGGUUGGUACUUGUACCAACUGGAUGAGCAGCGAACGGGUGAGUAACGCGUGGGGAAUCUGCCUUUGAGCGGGGGACAACAUUUGGAAACGAAUACUAAUACCGCAUAAAAACUUUAAACACAAGUUUUAAGUUUGAAAGAUGCAAUUGCAUCACUCAAAGAUGAUCCCGCGUUGUAUUAGCUAGUUGGUGAGGUAAAGGCUCACCAAGGCGAUGAUACAUAGCCGACCUGAGAGGGUGAUCGGCCACAUUGGGACUGAGACACGGCCCAAACUCCUACGGGAGGCAGCAGUAGGGAAUCUUCGGCAAUGGACGAAAGUCUGACCGAGCAACGCCGCGUGAGUGAAGAAGGUUUUCGGAUCGUAAAACUCUGUUGGUAGAGAAGAACGUUGGUGAGAGUGGAAAGCUCAUCAAGUGACGGUAACUACCCAGAAAGGGACGGCUAACUACGUG